UACGUAGGCAGCGAGCGUUGUUCGGAGUUACUGGGCGUAAAGGGUGCGUAGGCGGUUGUUUAAGUUUGGUGUGAAAUCUCCCGGCUCAACUGGGAGGGUGCGCCGAAUACUGAAUGACUAGAGUGCGGGAGAGGAUAGUGGAAUUCCUGGUGUAGCGGUGAAAUGCGUAGAUAUCAGGAGGAACACCGGUGGUGUAGACGGCUAUCUGGAC
rnacentral:rRNA from 1 species